rnacentral:misc_RNA from 1 species
GGGAAUGCCACCUGUCCGAAGACCGGACAGGCGCUGGCUCACACAGAGCUCAUCCCCAACCGGCCGCUGCGCAACCUGAUCGCGCGGUGGUGCCGGGAGCAGAACGUGCCGUUCGAUAGCAAGGACGACAGCAGUGGCAGCGAGAAAGAGACUAAUCCAGCAGGGAACAAAGCAGCAAUGGAGGCAGCGAGAAUGACAGCGACGUUUCUGGUGGAGAAGCU